rnacentral:tRNA from 1 species
GGUAUAGCUCAAGUGGUAGAGUGUAUGGUUAACAUGCACAAGGUCCUGGGUUCAAUCCCCAGUACC